rnacentral:rRNA from 1 species
GUCCACGCCCUAACGAUGUCAACUGGUUGUUGGGAGGGUUUCUUCUCAGUAACGAAGCUAACGCGUGAAGUUGACCGCCUGGGGAGUACGGCCGCAAGGUUGAAACUCAAAGGAAUUGACGGGACCCGCACAAGCGGUGGAUGAUGUGGUUUAAUUCGAUGCAACGCGAAACCUUACCUACCCUUGACAUGGCAGGAAUCCCGCAGAGAUGUGGGAGUGCUCGAAAGAGAACCUGCACACAGGUGCUGCAUGGCCGUCGU